UGACUGAACGCCUCUAAGUCAGAAUCCGGGCCAGAAGCGACGCGUUGUCCGCCGCUCGUUUGCCGACCAGCAGUAGGGGCCCUCCGGCCCCCAAAGGCACGUGUCGUUGGCUAAGCCCUCGCGGCGGACGAGCCGCGCGGGCCGCCUUGAAUUACAAUUUCCACCGGGCGGCGGACUGAAUCCUUUGCAGACGACUUAAAUACGCGACGGGGUAUUGUAAGUGGCAGAGUGGCCUUGCUGCCACGAUCCACUGAGAUUCAGCCCUUCGUCGCUCCGAUUCGU
rnacentral:ncRNA from 1 species